GAUUAUGGCUCAGGAUGAACGCUGGCGGCGUGCCUAACACAUGCAAGUCGAGCGGAGAUAAGUGGAGCCUAGCGAUUCUUAUCUUAGCGGCGGAUGGGUGAGUAACACGUGGGUAACCUGCCCUGUACUGGGGAAUAACAGCUGGAAACGGCUGUUAAUGCCGCAUAUGCGCAUGGAGCCGCAUGACUCCGGGCGGAAAGAUUUAUCGGUACAGGAUGGGCCCGCGCCGGAUUAACUAGUUGGCGGGGUAACGGCCCACCAAGGUGAUGAUCCGUAGCCGACCUGAGAGGGUGACCGGCCACAUUGGGACUGAGACACGGCCCAAACUCCUACGGGAGGCAGCAGUGGGGGAUAUUGCACAAUGGGGGAAACCCUGAAUGCAGCGACGCCGCGUGAAGGAUGACGUAUUUCGGUAUGUAAACUUCUAUCAGCGGGGAAGAAGAUGUCGGUACCCGACUAAGAAGCCCCGGCUAACUACGUGCCAGCCGCGGC
rnacentral:rRNA from 1 species